UACGUAGGGUGCAAGCGUUAAUCGGAAUUACUGGGCGUAAAGCGUGCGCAGGCGGUUGUGCAAGACCGAUGUGAAAUCCCCGGGCGUUAACCUGGGAAUGGCAUUGGUGACUGCACGGCUGAGGAGUGUGUCAGAGGGGGGUAGAAUUCCACGUGUAGCAGUGAAAUGCGUAGAGAUGUGGACGGAAUGACCGAUGGCGAAGGCAGCCCCCUGGGAUAACACUGACGCU
rnacentral:rRNA from 1 species